UACGUAGGGGGCAAGCGUUGUCCGGAUUUAUUGGGCGUAAAGAGCGUGUAGGCGGCCAUACAGGUCAGCUGUGAAAACUCGAGGCUCAACCUCGAGACGUCGGUUGAAACCGUAUGGCUAGAGUCCGGAAGAGGAGAGUGGAAUUCCCGGUGUAGCGGUGAAAUGCGCAGAUAUCGGGAAGAACACCCGUGGCGAAGGCGGCUCUCUGGGACGGUACUGGACGCGUGAGACGCGAAAGCGUGGGAG
rnacentral:rRNA from 1 species